CGCUGGCGGCAUGCCUAACACAUGCAAGUCGACGAACCCUUCGGGGUUAGUGGCGCACGGGUGCGUAACACGUGGGAAUCUGCCCUUUGCUUCGGAAUAACAGUUAGAAAUGACUGCUAAUACCGGAUGAUGUCGUAAGACCAAAGAUUUAUCGGCAAAGGAUGAGCCCGCGUAGGAUUAGGUAGUUGGUGGGGUAAAGGCCUACCAAGCCGACGAUCCUUAGCUGGUCUGAGAGGAUGAUCAGCCACACUGGGACUGAGACACGGCCCAGACUCCUACGGGAGGCAGCAGUGGGGAAUAUUGGACAAUGGGCGAAAGCCUGAUCCAGCAAUGCCGCGUGAGUGAUGAAGGCCUUCGGGUUGUAAAGCUCUUUUACCAGGGAUGAUAAUGACAGUACCUGGAGAAUAAGCUCCGGCUAACUCCGUG
rnacentral:rRNA from 1 species